AAAAAAAGACCACCCCAGUUCCACUCUCCCGACCUUGGAUGCUCAGCUCAAGCCCUGACCCAUGUACAGCUUGUGCUUCUAACCCAGGGCUAUAAAAUGGGGUUUCCUUGUUCCCCACUUGGGACCACAAAACGAGGGAUACUCUCCUAUGUUCACCAUUACAGACCAUUUUCAACAGCCAGACAACAGCCAACAGCAGAGCACAAGUUGUAUAGGAGGGGGCUUGGAGCAUCUCUGUGGUAGCAUGACUGAUUAUGGCACUGGUCGUGAUAAUUAACUCUACCUCCUUUCCCAUCCCUGGAUGUCAAAUAGGGGAGAUCAUGAAGAACUUGGCUUCAGAUAUGAAUCAGCUCGUUUUC